GCAGUCGAGCGAUUUACUUCGGUAAAGAGCGGCGGACGGGUGAGUAACCUUUGGGUAACCUGCCCUAUACACACGGAUAACAUACCGAACGGUAUGCUAAUACGAGAUAAUAUAAGAAAUUCGCAUGGAUUUCUUAUCAAAGCUUUUGCGGUAUAGGAUGGACCCGCGUCUGAUUAGCUAGUUGGUAAGGUAACGGCUUACCAAGGCGACGAUCAGUAGCCGACCUGAGAGGGUGAUCGGCCACAUUGGAACUGAGACGCGGUCCAAACUCCUACGGGAGGCAGCAGUGGGGAAUAUUGCACAAUGGGCGAAAGCCUGAUGCAGCAACGCCGCGUGAGCGAUGAAGGCCUUCGGGUCGUAAAGCUCUGUCCUCAAGGAAGAUAAUGACGGUACUUGAGGAGGAAGCCCCGGCUAACUACGUGCCAGCAGCCGCGGUAAUACGUAGGGGGCUAGCGUUAUCCGGAAUUACUGGGCGUAAAGGGUGCGUAGGUGGUUUCUUAAGUCAGAGGUGAAAGGCUACGGCUCAACCGUAGUAAGCCUUUGAAACUGAGAAACUUGAGUGCAGGAGAGGAGAGUAGAAUUCCUAGUGUAGCGGUGAAAUGCGUAGAUAUUAGGAGGAAUACCAGUUGCGAAGGCGGCUCUCUGGACUGUAACUGACACUGAGGCACGAAAGCGUGGGGAGCAAACAGGAUUAGAUACCCUGGUAGUCCACGCCGUAAACGAUGAGUACUAGCUGUCGGAGGUUACCCCCUUCGGUGGCGCAGCU
rnacentral:rRNA from 1 species